UACGUAGGGGGCGAGCGUUGUCCGGAAUUACUGGGCGUAAAGGGCGCGCAGGCGGCCGUGUAAGUCCGCUGUGAAAGACCGGGGCUCAACCCCGGGGUGUCAGCGGGGACUGCACGGCUGGAGUCCCGGAGGGGGAGGCGGAAUACCUGGUGUAGCGGUGGAAUGCGUAGAGAUCAGGUGGAACACCGAUGGCGAAGGCAGCCUCCUGGACGGGUACUGACGCUGAGACGCGAAAGCGUGGGGAGCGAACAGG
rnacentral:rRNA from 1 species